AGGCGAUCGGGAGAACUAUGGUUAAGGAACUCGGCAAAAUGCCUCCGUAACUUCGGAAGAAGGAGGACCCUUUUAGGUGAUAGGACUUCGCGUCCUUGAGCUCGAAAGGGUGGCACAGAGCAGGGGGUAGCGACUGUUUAACAAAAACACAGCAGCGUGCCAAGCCGCAAGGCGAUGUAUACGCUGUGACGCCUGCCCAAUGCUGGAAGGUCACGAGGAACGGUUAGCCGUAAGGCGAAGCUGUGAAUCUAAGCCCCAGUGAAUGGCGGCCGUAACUAUAACGGUCCUAAGGUAGCGAAAUUCCUUGUCGGGUAAGUUCCGACCUGCACGAAUGGCGUAACGACUUCCCCGCUGUCUCAACCAUAGACCCGGCGAAAUUGAAAUACGAGUAAAGAUGCUCGUUUGCUGCGGAAGGACGGAAAGACCCCGUGCACCUUUACUAUAACUUGGUGUUGAGCUUUGACCUUAACUGUGUAGCUUAGGUGGGAGACUGUGAAGCGCGAGCGCUAGUUUGCGUGGAGUCAUUAGUGAAAUACCACCCUGUUCAGUUUGGAGCUCUAACCUCGAUCCAUAAUCUGGAUCAGGAACAGUGCCAGGCGGGUAGUUUGACUGGGGCGGUCGCCUCCUAAAUUGUAACGGAGGCGCUCAAAGGUUCCCUCAGACUGGUUGGUAAUCAGUCGGCGAGUGUAAUGACACAAGGGAGCUUGACUGCGAGACUGACAGGUCAAGCAGGUACGAAAGUAGGACAUAGUGACCCGGCCAUUGCUUGUGGAAGCGUGGUCGCUCAACGGAUAAAAGGUACGCCGGGGAUAACAGGCUAAUCUUUCCCAAGAGUCCAUAUCGACGGAAAGGUUUGGCACCUCGAUGUCGGCUCAUCGCAUCCUGGGGCUGAAGCAGGUCCCAAGGGUUGGGCUGUUCGCCCAUUAAAGCGGUACGCGAGCUGGGUUCAGAACGUCGUGAGACAGUUCGGUCCCUAUCCUCCGCAGCCGAAAGUGAAUUGAGGAAAUCUGUCCCUAGUACGAGAGGACCGGGACGGACGUAGCUCUGGUGUGUCAGUUGUCUUGCCAAAGGCACGGCUGAUUAUCUACCUACGGAAUGGAUAACCGCUGAAAGCAUCUAAGCGGGAAGCCAGUUCCAAGAUGAGUUCACUCAUGCAGUCAAUGCAGUAAGGCCCGUGACGAGACCAUCACGUUGAUAGGCCGGAGGUGUACAUGCGGUAACGCAUUUAGCCGACCGGUACUAAUCGGCCGAGGGCUUGGAUUU
rnacentral:rRNA from 1 species